UAGGGGCCACUGGACUGAGUGGUUUCUGUUGUGCCAAUAAGGAGGAAAAUAGAAGCUUCUUCACCUUUGAGUGCAGUCAGGUCUUCAUUCAAUGGCACCAAUGACACAGUGGUGAAGAUAUUCGAGAUGUUACCUCUGGAACUUCUCUCACUUCACCACCCCUGACCUCAGACGUUUGGGAGGAGGAAGCCUGAACAGUAAGAUGAGAACCUAGACCGGGGCUGCCCCCCAGGAGUGGAGAAUCCAAUAACAGCCUCACCACUGCAGGCAGAAAAAAGAAAAAGAAAUUUAAAAAAUCGAAGAAAAAAGGAAGAGAAGAAAGAGAAAAGAAAGAUCAGUGUACCUAAUUAAGAAGCAAUGUUAUGCAUUCAAAAACACCAUUUGUAAGUGAAAAAAGAACUUCACUUUGUUGUUUUUUAUCCCAGGGUCAACCUGAAGGAGUAGACUAACAUUUUAAGGGUUUGUUAAAAAAUUCAAGGGUGGUUUAAUUGGACCUCGUGAUGCCUUUCUUUCCAAGAACAGGAAUUUUACAGAAAAAAGUAUUUAGCUGUAGAAGGAAAAGGGGAA